AGAACGAACGCUGGCGGCAUGCCUAACACAUGCAAGUCGAACGCUUCACCGGUUUCGGCCGGUGGGGAGUGGCGCACGGGUGAGUAGCGCGUGGGAACCUGCCCUGUUGUGGGGGAUAACCGAGGGAAACUUCGGCUAAUACCGCAUAAGCCGGUUGUCUUGAAAGAGAUGGCCGGGAAAGAUUUAUCGCGACAGGAGGGGCCCGCGUCGGAUUAGCUAGUUGGUGGGGUAACGGCCCACCAAGGCUGUGAUCCGUAGCUGGUCUGAGAGGAUGAUCAGCCACACUGGGACUGAGACACGGCCCAGACUCCUACGGGAGGCAGCAGUGGGGAAUAUUGGACAAUGGGCGCAAGCCUGAUCCAGCAAUGCCGCGUGAGUGAUGAAGGCCUUAGGGUUGUAAAGCUCUUUCGCCCGCGACGAUGAUGACGGUAGCGGGAGAAGAAGCCCCGGCUAACGUUCGCGCCAGCAGCCGCGGUAA
rnacentral:rRNA from 1 species